rnacentral:hammerhead_ribozyme from 1 species
AUUCAGCUGACGAGUCCGAAAUAGGACGAAACUCGCGUCCUGUAU